UACGUAGGGGGCAAGCGUUAUCCAGAUUUACUGGGCGUAAAGCGCGUGUAGGCGGCUGGUUAGGCGUGAUGUGAAAUCUUCCGGCUCAACCGGAAAACUGCAUUGCGAACCGGCCUGGCUAGAGUGCAGGAGAGGGAAGCGGAAUUCCAGGUGUAGCGGUGAAAUGCGUAGAUAUCUGGAGGAACACCAAUGGCGAAGGCAGCUCGCUGGGACGUUACUGACGCUGAGACGCGAAAGCGUGGGGAGCAAACAGG
rnacentral:rRNA from 1 species